AUCAACUCCCUGAGACUGCUGGUGUGAAGUGCAGGCACAUCUCAUCUGGACACUUCUGCCUGGAGCCUCCCAGAGAUGGCUGCUGCAGAGUUGACCCAUCCAAUCUCCUGACUGGAGCAUCAGACUCUGGCUGCUGAUAUUCUGGAGUUGUUGGCGGGGAGAAGAUUAGUGGUCUCAACAUUCAACCUACCCAUCCCGUAGGCAAGAGGUCUUCCUCACCUGAAACAAGCAGAAUAGGAGUGGUUGGUGGCCAUGUUCAAAGUCCAUCCUUGACAUUUACUUCCACAAUGCAAGUAUUCAAGGUGUACAGCUUCCUGUGAGAACGUAAAAUGGCAGCUCUCUGUGGAGGCCUACCGG